rnacentral:misc_RNA from 1 species
GAUGAAGAACGCAGCGAAAUGCGACAAGUAAUGUGAAUUGCAGAAUUCCGUGAAUCAUCGAAUCUUUGAACGCACAUUGCGCCCUCUGGUAUUCUGGAGGGCAUGCCUGUCCGAGCGUCAUUGCUAUACCUCAAGCCCGGCUUGUGUGAUGGACUCACUGUCUUAUUGGACAGUAGCCCCAAAGGCAGUGGCAGGGUCGCAGUCCGGUCUUUUAAAUGCGUAUGGGGCUUCGUCACCCGCUCUUGUAGGCCCGGCCGGCGCUUGCCGACACAUCAAUCUUUUUUCCAGGUUGACCUCGGAUCAGGUAGGGAUACCCGCUGAACUUAAGCAUAUCAAUAAGCGGAGGA